GGGUAGAUAGUUUAAAAAAAAUGUGGGUUUUGUAAUCCUGGGAUGUGAUGAAUUUGCUUUACCCU
rnacentral:tRNA from 1 species